UCCCGUUGAUCCUGCGGGAGAUUGCUGCUAGUAGGAUUCGAUUAAGCCAUGCAAGUCAGGUAGCAAUACCGGCGACAUGCUCAGUAACACGUCGAUAACUUACCUUACGGUCAGGGAUAAGCUCGGGAAACUGAGUGUAAUACCUGAUAGGGGAUUGAUACUGGAAUGUACUUUCCCUGAAAUUCGUGCCGUAAGAUAGGUCGGCGGUGGAUUAGGCUGUUGGUGGGGUAAUGGCCCACCAAACCUUUGAUCCAUACGGGCCUUGAGAGAGGUAGCCCGGAGAGGGACACUGAAAUACUGGUCCCAGCCCUACGGGGUGCAGCAGGCGCGAAACCUCCACAAUGCACGAAAGUGUGAUGGGGGGAUCCUACGUGCCCAUGUUAAGCAUGGGCUUUUUGUUAAGAUUAGACCUCUUGGCGAAUAAGGGGUGGGCAAGACUGGUGCCAGCCGCCGCGGUAACACCAGCGCCCCGAGUGGCAAUCGCGUUUAUUGGGCCUAAAGCGUCCGUAGCCGGACUGAUAAAUCCGCUGUGAAAUGGUUGCGCUCAACGUAACCGCGUGCAGUGAAGACUGUCAGUCUCGAGACCGGGAGGAGUUAGAGGUAUGCCGUGGGGACCGGUAAAAUGGUAUAAUCCACGGUAGACCACCAAUGGCGAAGGCAUCUAACCAGAACGGAUCUGACGGUGAGGGACGAAAGCCAGGGGAGCGAACCGGAUUAGAUACCCGAGUAGUCCUGGCCGUAAACGCUGCGAGCAAGGUGUUGCCCAUCUCACGAGGGUGGGCAGUGUCGAAACGAAGGUGAUAAGCUCGCCGCCUGGGAAGUACGGUCGCAAGAUUGAAACUUUAAGGAAUUGGCGGGGGAGCACUACAAGGGGUGCGGCGUGCGGUUUAAUCUAACUCCACGCAGAGAACCUCACUAGUGGCGACGGCAGAAUGAAGGUCAGUCUGAAGGGCUUACCUGACGAGCCGAGAGGUAGUGCAUGGCCGCCGUCAGCUCGUGCCGUAAGGUGUCCAGCUAAGUCUGGUAACGAGCGAGACCUGCGCCCACAGUUGCUAACGAGACAUGUCGAUCGAGCACACUGUGGGGACUGCCUUCGUAAGAAGGAGGAAGGUGCAGGCUACGGUAGGUCUGUAUGCUCCGAAUCCACUAGGCUACACGCGCGCAACAAUGGCUGUGACAAUGGGAUGCAACACCGAGAGGUGAAGCUAAUCCUCUAAACGCAGUCUUAGUACAGAUUGAGGCUUGCAACCCAGCCUCAUGACGCCGGAAUCCCUAGUAAUCCGAUUUCAUCAUAUUCGGGUGAAUAUGUCCCUGCUCCUUGCACACACCCCCGUCAAACCAACCGAGCAGGUUUUAGGUGAAACCACAUUCCUUUGAUAUGGUUGAAUCUCAGAUCAGUGAGGUGGGUUAAGUCGUCACAAGGUA
rnacentral:rRNA from 1 species